rnacentral:rRNA from 1 species
AUCCUGGAGGUGGAGAAGCUUCCAAGGGUAUGGCUGUUCGCCAUUUAAAAAGUUACGCGAGCUGGGUUCAGACCGUCGUGAGACAGGUUGGACUCCUAUCUACUGCAGGCGUUCGAUUCUUGAGGGGAUUUGACUCUAGUACGAGAGGACCGAGUUGAACCGACCUCUGGUGUACCUGCUGUCCUGCCAAGGGCAUCGCAGGGUAGCUAUGUCGGGAACGGAUAAAUUCUGAAAGCAUCUAAGAAUGAAGCCAACCCCAAGAUUAGGAAUCGUAGCCCCGACGUAAAGUCGGGGCGGAAGAGCCCUAGGAGAUGACUAGGUUGAUAGGCGCUAGGUGUAAGCACCGCAAGGUGUUGAGCCGAGGCGUACUAAUUGCUCAAAUCCUAUUAGGAA